rnacentral:rRNA from 1 species
UAGGGAAUCUUCGGCAAUGGGGGGCAACCCUGACCGAGCAACGCCGCGUGAGUGAAGAAGGUUUUCGGAUCGUAAAGCUCUGUUGUAAGAGAAGAACGGAUGUGGGAGUGGAAAAUCCAUGUCGUGACGGUAUCUUACCAGAAAGGGACGGCUAACUACGUGCCAGCAGCCGCGGUAAUACGUAGGUCCCGAGCGUUGUCCGGAUUUAUUGGGCGUAAAGCGAGCGCAGGCGGUUUCAUAAGUCUGAAGUUAAAGGCAGUGGCUUAACCAUUGUACGCUUUGGAAACUGUGAGACUUGAGUGCAGAAGGGGAGAGUGGAAUUCCAUGUGUAGCGGUGAAAUGCGUAGAUAUAU